GGCAGCAUAGUCUAUGCACUGCACCUAAUGUGCCUUGAACGCACCUUGAUGGCCUGAUAGCCUAUCCGUGAGCAGGGGCCAGUAUUUAAGACGGCCCUCUCCCCUGCUCUUUCGCUUCCCAAUUCACUUCCGGUAGCAGGCCGGCUUCCUUUUUACCACAGCGUGCGUCCCGCUGUGUGUACUGCUCUGUCGCUCCUGUAUGCUCCUGUUUGGCAUGUUGUCAGAGGCCGGUGGUGGUGGUGGCGUCGGUGACUGGUGGUGGUGUCCCCCUCAUUUGAUGUGCUGUGCUCCCCGGUGGUGGUUCCUUCAAUGUGUGUGUGUGGGUGAUUUAUUUCUAUUUAUUUUGGGUGAACCGCUCCUGUUCACUAGUACCUGCCCACCUGGUAAGCCUCUGCUCCUGACUAGUUGCCCUUUUUUUGGUGUGAAUGAUUUUGAUUGUUAAUUAUUUUAACCAAUUGUAAUAAAAUAUAUUUUUAUACCUCGAA